rnacentral:tRNA from 7 species
ACACAUGUGGUAUAUCGGUAGCUACUCUUGGCCUUUGCUUAAGAGGUCAUGGGUUCAAAUCCCCUUGAGGACAUGUGUG